CAGUAAAUAAAAAAUUGUUCUUAAAAUUUCAUGCACAAUAUUGUAACUGACUUUACCUCACUGAAGUUAACUUGAAGGGGAAAACAAAUGUACAAAAGUGGUUUCAAUCCUGCUCACAGGCAGACAUCAUAGGCUGUUAACGGCCCACUGCAUGUCUGCAGCUGGGAUCUUUUCUGUAUUGUAUUUCACAAGGUUCAGCUCUAUGUACAGUUUUCUUUAUCUAGCCUAGGCAGCCAGAGUCACUAUCAAAACAGCAGAUAACCUCUCCCUGUUUUUCACCCCCAAGUCUCACUUUGCUGCCACUGAGAAGGCCUAAAGCUUGGAUAAUUCAGCUCACAGAAAAACAAUUAAUUUGAUAUUAAAGUCAGAUAAGGGUGAGGAAAGACCUCUGCAAUAGUUCUAUUUUCACUAAUUAAAAUUCAUAUUUCAUAAAAUUGACAGCUCAUUGUUUUGUGAGCUUGAAUUUGUUGCAAAUUUUCAUGUAGGAUGAUGAGUAAAACUUUGUAAUUUACCCACCUGGUUGUGAAAAUUUCCUUAUCUACAUGACUGGAAAUAAUUCUGAAUUCCAGGUUUUCAUUUCUCGUGGGUUUUUCAUCUGUGAAGGGUUUGUGUCCACAUACUUUCAUUUAACACACAUCACUUCAAUGCAUCUCUUUGGCAGCAUCAGUAUGAACUGCUGCAAGGUAAUUUAAUCAGGUUUGAUUUUUGUUUUCUUAGAGUAUGUCAGAGCAAAGGUGAGUGCUGUAUUAUCUUCAUGCUGCUCCACUGCAUUGCCUUUGAUGUGACUUCCCUCAACAUAGAAGAAGUGGCAGUCCUCUUCAGAGAAGGAUAAAUCUAGUGUGAGUUGCAUGGCACUGCAAGGCUUCAGGUGCAAAUGCCAUUGUCACUGAGUACUAGAGCCCCUGUCUGAAGAACCAGUUGUCGUGUUUCUGGAUCCUUCAUCACAUACGCAGUAAGACCAACAGCGCUUGAGCCUCUGCCAGAUGUAUACUGACCCCGAGGAACCAGGUUAUGCACAUACUGGAGCAGCUGUGAUUUGCUGGUACCAGGAUCACCACAGAGAAGAAUGUUGAUCUCUGCACGAAAGUUGCCUCUUCCUGUUAGACGCCAUUUCAGAUACUGCCUCUUCCUCACCUACAUUCUCAGAAUACUGAACCAUCAAGGUCAGACAAUUCCCUCCAGUAUGUUCAUGUCUCCCUUGGAGAGAGGAGUCCAGAACUGGACUGCAUACUCCAGAUGUGGCCUCACCAGUGCUGAACACAGGGGAAGGAUCACCUCCCUCAACCUGUUGGCAACGCUUCCCUUAAGACAGCCCAGGAAGCUGCUGGCACCAGUCAUCUGGUCUGUCAAGCUCCGAUUCCUUCCAGUUUUGCUUUUGUCUGCAAGUUUACUGAGGGUGCACUCUGUCCCAUCAUUACAUCCACAUCAUUACUGAAGUUAUCCAACAGAGUCUGACCCCAGUAUUGACCCCUGUGGUAUACCUGUGGUGACCAACCUCCAGCUGGACUU